rnacentral:tRNA from 1 species
GAGGGUGUAGCUCAGUGGUGGAGUGCAUGCCUAGCAUGCACAAGGUCCUGGGUUCAAUCCCCAGUACCUCUG